UACGGAGGGUGCAAGCGUUAUCCGGAUUUACUGGGUUUAAAGGGUGCGUAGGUGGGCAGGUAAGUCAGUGGUGAAAUCUCCGGGCUUAACCCGGAAACUGCCAUUGAUACUAUCUGUCUUGAAUUUCCUGGAGGUAAGCGGAAUAUGUCAUGUAGCGGUGAAAUGCUUAGAUAUGACAUAGAACACCAAUUGCGAAGGCAGCUGGCUACACAUAUAUUGACACUGAGGCACGAAAGCGUGGGGAUCAAACAGG
rnacentral:rRNA from 1 species